rnacentral:SRP_RNA from 1 species
GCCGGGCGCAGUGGCAGCGUGCCUGUAGUCCCAGCUACUCGGGAGGCUGAGGUGGGAGGAUCACUUGAGUCGAGGAGUUCUGGGCUGUAGUGCGCUAUGCCGAUCGGGUGUCCGCACUAAGUUCGGCAUCAAUAUGGUGACCUCCCGGGAGCGGGGAACCACCAGGUUGCCUAAGGAGGAUUGAACUGGCCCAGGUCGGAAAUGGAGCAGGUCAAAACUCCAGUGCUGAUCAGUAGUGGGAUUGAGCCUGGGAAUAGCCACUGCACUGCAGCCUGGGCAACAACAAUGGCGAGACCCCGUCUCA